AUUGAACGCUGGCGGCAGGCCUAACACAUGCAAGUCGAACGAGUGGCGGACGGGUGAGUAAUGUCUGGGAAACUGCCUGAUGGAGGGGGAUAACUACUGGAAACGGUAGCUAAUACCGCAUACCAGCAGAUGUGCCCAGAUGGGAGUAGCUUGUUGGUGGGGUAACGGCUCACAAAGGCGAAGAUCACUAGCUUGUCUGAGAGGAUGACCAGCCACACUGGAACUUGGAACCGGUCCCUACUCCUACGUGUGGGAGCAUUGGGGAAUAUUGCACAAUGGGCGCAAGCCUGAUGCAGCCAUGCCGCGUGUAUGAAGAAGGCCUUCGGGUUGUAAAGUACUUUCAGCGGGGAGGCGUUACCCGCAGAAGAAGCACCGGCUAACUCCGUGCCAGCAGCCGCGGUAAUAC
rnacentral:rRNA from 1 species